UGGUGCGCGUUACUGUUCUUCAAUAGUAAAAAAAGGCGAUCACACUCAAAGCUUGGUUCUUGGUUUUUCUUUGCAGGUGCCAUUGAAGGGAAAGCACUUCGCAUUUCAUCAAAGCCUCUGGACUCCAAUAUUGCUUUUGUUUUGGUGCUUUUGCACACUUCGCACAAAGGGAAGGCAUGAUUAAUUAAGCAUUCAUCGUUGGAAGACCACAAAUCAACAUCCUUCUUCUUUUGCUUUCCUACGUCGGCACCUCCUCAAAAUUUCUUGCUGCAACCUCUUGGAAUAAAUUUAAUUUGGCUUCAAUAUAUGCCUUGGAUGAUGCUGCACUUGAACACAUCUUUGACAAAUAGUGUGUUGAUUUAUCUUAUGCUUGGUAGUUGUCAAUCGAACUCAGUGGCUGGCUACUCAAUGCUUGGUAGUUGCCUAUCGAAUUCUCGGCUACAACUUUAAGUUUGAAAGCUAGCCACAAAGAAAGUUCAGUCGCGACCAAACUUGCCAAACAGUGUUUCAAUUCUAUAGGAGUUAACUUGUGGUGCUAAUGCAGUUGAGUUCAUCAUCAACCACGCUGAAGUUUCAAUAGCUUUUGUUCAAGAUAACAAAAUCCCUGCUUAAUUCUUUCUGCAGAUUUGAUCAUGCUUUCCAAACUGUUCUGCGCAUAUAAAAGCAAUUGUCAGCUUCACAAAUGUUUCUAGCACCCAAAGACAGAAGAUCUAGGGGUAUCUUGCUUUUCGUGGGAGGAAUUCUUUCAGUUGCAGAAAAACCCAUCUAGGGAUUUGCAACCUCCGCCUCCACAGCCACAACUAGCU